UUCUUCAUCGAAUCUUUGAACGCACCUUGCGCUCCUUGGUAUUCCGAGGAGCAUGCCUGUUUGAGUGUCAUUAAAUUCUCAACCCCUCUAACUUUUGUUGGAAGGGGCUUGGAUAUGGAGGUUUGCUGGCCCUUUGUUAAAGAAGGUCAGCUCCUCUGAAAUGCAUUAGCGGAACCGUUUGCGAUCCGUCACAGGUGUGAUAAUUAUCUACGCCGUGUAUAGUCGCUCUCUGUCUGUUCAGCUUCUAAUCGUCUUCAUGGACAAUUCUAUUGAAUAUUUGACCUCAAAUCAGGUAGGACUACCCGCUGAACUUAAGCAUAUCAAU
rnacentral:rRNA from 1 species